AGUGGGGAAUAUUGCACAAUGGAGGGAACUCUGAUGCAGCGAUGCCGCGUGAGGGAAGAAGGUUUUCGGAUUGUAAACCUCUGUCUUCGGGGACGAUAGUGACGGUACCCGAGGAGGAAGCUCCGGCUAACUACGUGCC
rnacentral:rRNA from 1 species